rnacentral:rRNA from 1 species
UGGCAGCAGUUUCGAAUCAUUCACAAUGGGCGAAAGCCUGAUGAUGCAAUGCCGCGUGGGGGAUGACGGUCUUCGGAUUGUAAACCCCUGUCACCAAGGACUAAACGACGGUGAAGAGCCGUCCUGAAUUAACUUGGAGAGGAAGCAGUGGCUAACUCCGUGCCAGCAGCCGCGGUAAUACGGAGACUGCGAGCGUUACUCGGAUUCACUGGGCGUAAAGGGUGCGCAGGCGGCCAGGUGUGUCAGAUGUGAAAGCCUACGGCUCAACCGUGGAACUGCAUUUGAAACUACCUGGCUAGAGUAUCGGAGAGGUAAGCGGAAUUCCUAGUGUAGCGGUGAAAUGCGUAGAUAUUAGGAGGAACACCGAAGGCGAAGGCAGCUUACUGGACGAUUACUGACGCUCAGGCACGAAAGCGUGGGGAGCGAAAGGGAUUAGAUACCCCUGUAGUCCACGCCGUAAACGUUGCAUACUCGGUCUUGGGGAAUUCGACCUCUUCAGGGCCUAAGCUAACGCAAUAAGUAUGCCGCCUGAGGACUACGGCCGCAAGGCUAAAACUCAAAGGAAUUGACGGGGA